GGAUGAGAGAACACGUGGAUAACCUACCUAUAAGACUGGGAUAACUUCGGGAAACCGGAGCUAAUACCGGAUAAUAUUUUGAACCGCAUGGUUCAAAAGUGAAAGACGGUCUUGCUGUCACUUAUAGAUGGAUCCGCGCUGCAUUAGCUAGUUGGUAAGGUAACGGCUUACCAAGGCAACGAUGCAUAGCCGACCUGAGAGGGUGAUCGGCCACACUGGAACUGAGACACGGUCCAGACUCCUACGGGAGGCAGCAGUAGGGAAUCUUCCGCAAUGGGCGAAAGCCUGACGGAGCAACGCCGCGUGAGUGAUGAAGGUCUUCGGAUCGUAAAACUCUGUUAUUAGGGAAGAACAUAUGUGUAAGUAACUGUGCACAUCUUGACGGUACCUAAUCAGAAAGCCACGGCUAACUACGUGCCAGCAGCCGCGGUAAUACGUAGGUGGCAAGCGUUAUCCGGAAUUAUUGGGCGUAAAGCGCGCGUAGGCGGUUUUUUAAGUCUGAUGUGAAAGCCCACGGCUCAACCGUGGAGGGUCAUUGGAAACUGGAAAACUUGAGUGCAGAAGAGGAAAGUGGAAUUCCAUGUGUAGCGGUGAAAUGCGCAGAGAUAUGGAGGAACACCAGUGGCGAAGGCGACUUUCUGGUCUGUAACUGACGCUGAUGUGCGAAAGCGUGGGGAUCAAACAGGAUUAGAUACCCUGGUAGUCCACGCCGUAAACGAUGAGUGCUAAGUGUUAGGGGGUUUCCGCCCCUUAGUGCUGCAGCUAACGCAUUAAGCACUCCGCCUGGGGAGUACGACCGCAAGGUUGAAACUCAAAGGAAUUGACGGGGACCCGCACAAGCGGUGGAGCAUGUGGUUUAAUUCGAAGCAACGCGAAGAACCUUACCAAAUCUUGACAUCCUUUGACAACUCUAGAGAUAGAGCCUUCCCCUUCGGGGGACAAAGUGACAGGUGGUGCAUGGUUGUCGUCAGCUCGUGUCGUGAGAUGUUGGGUUAAGUCCCGCAACGAGCGCAACCCUUAAGCUUAGUUGCCAUCAUUAAGUUGGGCACUCUAAGUUGACUGCCGGUGACAACCC
rnacentral:rRNA from 1 species